CCAAUCGAACUCGGAGAUAGCUGGUUCUCCCCGAAAUAGCUUUAGGGCUAGCCUCGAUUUAGAUUACCGGGGGUAGAGCACUGAAUGGGCUAGGGGGCCACAAAGCUUACCGAACCCUAUCAAACUUCGAAUACCGGAUAAUUGAUGAUCGGGAGUCAGACAGUGUGAGAUAAGUUUCAUUGUCGAAAGGGAAACAGCCCAGAUCUACGACUAAGGUCCCAAAGUUCAAGUUAAGUGGAAAAGGAUGUGCAAUUGCGCAGACAACCAGGAUGUUGGCUUAGUAGCAGCCAUUCAUUCAAAGAGUGCGUAAUAGCUCACUGGUCGAGUGAUUGUGCGCCGAAAAUGUAACGGGGCUAAACUUGACACCGAAGUCUAGGCAGAAGGAAACUUCUGGGUAGGGGAGCAACGUGUACGGGCAGAAGCAGAAGCGGAAGCGACUGUGGACUGUACAGGAGAGAGAAUGCCGGCAUGAGUAGCGAGAGCAAAGUGAGAAUCUUUGCCGUCGAAAGCCUAAGGUUUCCUGAGGAAGGCUCGUCCUCUCAGGGUAAGUCGGGACCUAAGCCGAGGACAAUAGUCGUAGGCGAUGGACAAUCGGUUAAUAUUCCGAUACCGCCGAGCAACCGGAUGCAGUGACACAGAAGGAUAGGCAGAGCGUGGCGAUGGUAGACCACGUCCAAGCAGUGAGGCUGUUGUGUAGUGAAGUACGCACAACGGAAGGCUGGGCUGUGAUGGGGAACGAUUACGAUCGGUAAGCUGCUGAAUUCACGCUGGCGAGAAAAGCUGCUACGAAGCGAAGGCGCCCGUACCGCAAACCGACACAGGUAGGCGAGGAGAGAAUCCUAAGACGAGCGGGAGAACCCUUGUUAAGGAACUCGGCAAAAUGACUCCGUAACUUAGGGAGAAGGAGUGCCCAGGAAUGGGCCGCAGAGAAUAGACCCAAGCGACUGUUUACCAAAAACACAGGUCUGUGCGAAGUAGAGAUACGACGUAUACGGGCUGACACCUGCCCAGUGCCGGAAGGUUAAGGGGAAAUGUUAGGGCAACCGAAGCAUGGAACUUAAGCCCCGGUGAACGGCGGCCGUAACUAUAACGGUCCUAAGGUAGCGAAAUUCCUUGUCGGGU
rnacentral:rRNA from 1 species